UGAUCCUACGGGGCGCAGCAGUAGGGAAUCUUCCACAAUGGGCGAAAGCCUGAUGGAGCAACGCCGCGUGGGUGAAGAAGGUCGUCGGAUCGUAAAACCCUGUUGUUAGAGAAGAAAGUGCGUGAGAGUAACUGUUCACGUUUCGACGGUAUCUAACCAGAAAGCCACGGCUAACUACGUGCCAGCAGCCGCGGUAAUACGUAAGUGGCGAGCGUUAUCCGGAUUUAUUGGGCGUAAAGAGAACGCAGGCGGUCUUUUAAGUCUGAUGUGAAAGCCUUCGGCUUAACCGGGUUAGUGCAUUGGAA
rnacentral:rRNA from 1 species